GAUUUCCGAAUGGGGAAACCCAAUACGAGUUAUGUCGUAUUAUCGAUACGUAAAUACAUAGCGUAUCGAAGGUAGACGCGGAGAACUGAAACAUCUUAGUACCCGCAGGAAGAGAAAGAAAAAUCGAGUCCCUGAGUAGCGGCGAGCGAAACGGGAAUAGCCCAAACCAACGAGCUUGCUUGUUGGGGUUGUAGGACACUCUAUACGGAGUUACAAAGGAAUAGAUUAGACGAA
rnacentral:rRNA from 1 species